CCUACGGGGCGCAGCAGUGAGGAAUAUUGGUCAAUGGGCGCGAGCCUGAACCAGCCAAGUCGCGUGAGGGAUGACGGCCCUACGGGUUGUAAACCUCUUUUGUCGGGGAGCAAAUUCCGCCACGCGUGGCGGAGUCGAGAGUACCCGAAGAAAAAGCAUCGGCUAACUCCGUGCCAGCAGCCGCGGUAAUACGGAGGAUGCGAGCGUUAUCCGGAUUUAUUGGGUUUAAAGGGUGCGUAGGCGGACUGUCAAGUCAGCGGGAAAAUACGGGGGCUCAACCGCCGCCCGCCGGUGAAACUGACGGG
rnacentral:rRNA from 1 species